AGGUCGGGGUCCCAAGACCCCCCAGCGGAAAAAUGGCCAAAAAACGGGUGGGCUAUAGCCUUGGUGGGGGGCGUGGGCGUCCGCGGGACUCGGAAUGGCACCAUACUUGGCGGGCGGCCUCCGUGUGCCAAAAAUAGGCCACGGGCACAGCCGCGCCCAAAAAUCAGCCCCCGAAGGUCGGGGUCCCAAGACCCCCCAGCGGAAAAAUGGCCAAGAAACGCGUGGGCUAUAGCCUUGGUGGGGGGCGUGGGCGAAGUUCGUCCGCGGGACUCGGAAUGGCCCCAGACUUGGCGGGCGGCCUCCGUGUGCCAAAAAUAGGCCACGGGCACAGCCGCGCCCAAAAAUCAGCCCCCGAAGGUCGGGGUCACAAGACCCCCCAGCGGAAAAAUGGCCAAGAAACGCGUGGGCUAUAGCCUUGGUGGGGGGCGUGGGCGAAGUUCGUCCGCGGGACUCGGAAUGGCCCCAGACUUGGCGGGCGGCCUCCGUGUGCCAAAAAUAGGCCACGGGCACAGCCGCGCCCAAAAAUCAGCCCCCGAAGGUCGGGGUCACAAGACCCCCCAGCGGAAAAAAGGCCAAGAAACGCGUGGGCUAUAGCCUUGGUGGGGGGCGUGGGCGAAGUUCGUCCGCGGGACUCGGAAUGGCACCAUACUUGGCGGGCGGCCUCCGUGUGCCAAAAAUAGGCCACGGGCACAGCCGCGCCCAAAAAUCAGCCCCCGAAGGUCGGGGUCCCAAGACCCCCCAGCGGAAAAAUGGCCAAAAAACGGGUGGGCUAUAGCCUUGGUGGGGGGCGUGGGCGUCCGCGGGACUCGGAAUGGCACCAUACUUGGCGGGCGGCCUCCGUGUGCCAAAAAUAGGCCACGGGCACAGCCGCGCCCAAAAAUCAGCCCCCGAAGGUCGGGGUCCCAAGACCCCCCAGCGGAAAAAUGGCCAAGAAACGCGUGGGCUAUAGCCUUGGUGGGGGGCGUGGGCGAAGUUCGUCCGCGGGACUCGGAAUGGCCCCAGACUUGGCGGGCGGCCUCCGUGUGCCAAAAAUAGGCCACGGGCACAGCCGCGCCCAAAAAUCAGCCCCCGAAGGUCGGGGUCACAAGACCCCCCAGCGGAAAAAAGGCCAAGAAACGCGUGGGCUAUAGCCUUGGUGGGGGGCGUGGGUGAAGUUCGUCCGCGGGACUCGGAAUGGCACCAUACUUGGCGGGCGGCCUCCGUGUGCCAAAAAUAGGCCACGGGCACAGCCGCGCCCAAAAAUCAGCCCCCGAAGGUCGGGGUCCCAAGACCCCCCAGCGGAAAAAUGGCCAAAAAACGGGUGGGCUAUAGCCUUGGUGGGGGGCGUGGGCGAAGUUCGUCCGCGGGACUCGGAAUGGCCCCAGACUUGGCGGGCGGCCUCCGUGUGCCAAAAAUAGGCCACGGGCACAGCCGCGGCCAAAAAUCAGCCCCCGAAGGUCGGGGUCCCAAGACCCCCCAGCGGAAAAAUGGCCAAGAAACGCGUGGGCUAUAGCCUUGGUGGGGGGCGUGGGCGAAGUUCGUCCGCGGGACUCGGAAUGGCCCCAGACUUGGCGGGCGGCCUCCGUGUGCCAAAAAUAGGCCACGGGCACAGCCGCGCCCAAAAAUCAGCCCCCGAAGGUCGGGGUCCCAAGACCCCCCAGCGGAAAAAUGGCCAAGAAACGGGUGGGCUAUAGCCUUGGUGGGGGGCGUGGGCGAAGUUCGUCCGCGGGACUCGGAAUGGCCCCAGACUUGGCGGGCGGCCUCCGUGUGCCAAAAAUAGGCCACGGGCACAGCCGCGCCCAAAAAUCAGCCCCCGAAGGUCGGGGUCACAAGACCCCCCAGCGGAAAAAAGGCUAAGAAACGCGUGGGCUAUAGCCUUGGUGGGGGGCGUGGGCGAAGUUCGUCCGCGGGACUCGGAAUGGCACCAUACUUGGCGGGCGGCCUCCGUGUGCCAAAAAUAGGCCACGGGCACAGCCGCGCCCAAAAAUCAGCCCCCGAAGGUCGGGGUCCCAAGACCCCCCAGCGGAAAAAUGGCCAAAAAACGGGUGGGCUAUAGCCUUGGUGGGGGGCGUGGGCGAAGUUCGUCCGCGUGACUCGGAAUGGCCCCAGACUUGGCGGGCGGCCUCCGUGUGCCAAAAAUAGGCCACGGGCACAGCCGCGCCCAAAAAUCAGCCCCCGAAGGUCGGGGUCCCAAGACCCCCCAGCGGAAAAAUGGCCAAGAAACGCGUGGGCUAUAGCCUUGGUGGGGGGCGUGGGCGAAGUUCGUCCGCGGGACUCGGAAUGGCCCCAGACUUGGCGGGCGGCCUCCGUGUGCCAAAAAUAGGCCACGGGCACAGCCGCGCCCAAAAAUCAGCCCCCGAAGGUCGGGGUCACAAGACCCCCCAGCGGAAAAAAGGCCAAGAAACGCGUGGGCUAUAGCCUUGGUGGGGGGCGUGGGUGAAGUUCGUCCGCGGGACUCGGAAUGGCACCAUACUUGGCGGGCGGCCUCCGUGUGCCAAAAAUAGGCCACGGGCACAGCCGCGCCCAAAAAUCAGCCCCCGAAGGUCGGGGUCCCAAGCCCCCCCAGCGGAAAAAUGGCCAAGAAACGCGUGGGCUAUAGCCUUGGUGGGGGGCGUGGGCGAAGUUCGUCCGCGGGACUCGGAAUGGCCCCAGACUUGGCGGGCGGCCUCCGUGUGCCAAAAAUAGGCCACGGGCACAGCCGGGCCCAAAAAUCAGCCCCCGAAGGUCGGGGUCACAAGGACCCCCCAGCGGAAAAAAGGCCAAGAAACGGGUGGGCUAUAGCCUUGGUGGGGGGCGUGGGCGAAGUUCGUCCGCGGGACUCGGAAUGGCACCAUACUUGGCGGGCGGCCUCCGUGUGCCAAAAAUAGGCCACGGGCACAGCCGCGCCCAAAAAUCAGCCCCCGAAGUUCGGGGUCCCAAGACCCCCCAGCGGAAAAAUGGCCAAAAAACGGGUGGGCUAUAGCCUUGGUGGGGGGCGUGGGCGAAGUUCGUCCGCGGGACUCGAAAUGGCCCCAGACUUGGCGGGCGGCCUCCGUGUGCCAAAAAUAGGCCACGGGCACAGCCGCGCCCAAAAAUCAGCCCCCGAAGGUCGGGGUCCCAAGACCCCCCAGCGGAAAAAUGGCCAAGAAACGCGUGGGCUAUAGCCUUGGUGGGGGGCGUGGGCGAAGUUCGUCCGCGGGACUCGGAAUAGCCCCAGACUUGGCGGGCGGCCUCCGUGUGCCAAAAAUUGGCCACGGGCACAGCCGCGCCCAAAAAUCAGCCCCCGAAGGUCGGGGUCCCAAGACCCCCCAGCGGAAAAAUGGCCAAGAAACGGGUGGGCUAUAGCCUUGGUGGGGGGCGUGGGCGAAGUUCGUCCGCGGGACUCGGAAUGGCCCCAGACUUGGCGGGCGGCCUCCGUGUGCCAAAAAUAGGCCACGGGCACAGCCGCACCCAAAAAUCAGCCCCCGAAGGUCGGGGUCCCAAGACCCCCCAGCGGAAAAAUGGCCAAGAAACGCAUGGGCUAUAGCCUUGGUGGGGGGCGUGGGCGAAGUUCGUCCGCGGGACUCGGAAUGGCCCCAGACUUGGCGGGCGGCCUCCGUGUGCCAAAAAUAGGCCA
rnacentral:lncRNA from 1 species